GACAGAGGAUGCAAGCGUUAUCCGGAAUGAUUGGGCGUAAAGCGUCUGUAGGUGGCUUUUUAGGUCCGCCGUCAAAUCCCAGGGCUCAACCCUGGACAGGCGGUGGAAACUACCAAGCUGGAGUACGGUAGGGGCAGAGGGAAUUCCCGGUGUAGCGGUGAAAUGCGCAGAUAUCGGGAGGAACACCGGUGGCGAAGGCGGUUCUCUGGGCCUUACCUGACGCUGAGGAGCGAAAGCGUGGGGAGCGAACAGG
rnacentral:rRNA from 1 species